GGCGCCGUAGUUUAAUAAUUAGAACGUUAAAGUCCUAUAUUAAAUUAUUGUAUAGUAUUUUUAAAUUAUAUUUAAUAAUAUAUUUUCUGGAUCAUUUUUAAUAACCAUCUUUAAAGGUUGCGGGUUCGAAUCCCGUCGGCGCUA